UUUUAUUUUAAAAAAUCCUAAAAACUGAACCCCACAAUAUUUUUUGAAGAAUUAAGAUAAUGAACGAUAAUUUAAUGAGGCCAAAGGCCUGGAGCGGUUAUAAAUAGCACCACAAGUACUGAACCAUUUUCACCAACAAAAUUACUCAAAACAGUAAAUUGAAAAGCAAAGGCAAUGAAGUCUGUAUCCAUCUUAGCCCUCUUCUUCGUUCUCUUCUUAGUGCUCUUUGGUAAGCCAGUAAAUACAUAUUUAUAUACUGUUAUUAAUACUAAUCUUUUGUGUCUCAAUUUGUAUGUGGUUUGUACUUUGUACGUAGUGGAAAAGUUAUAAUGUUUCCGUAUCAGAGAAUACUAUUUGAUAAAAGCAUGCUUGAGAAAUGUAAUAACACAUAUUUGAUAUUUGUUUAUACAGAACACCAAAGAUAAAAGCCGCAGAAGAUGAAUGUCUUAAGGAGUACAUUCCAACUGAAGACGAAGUACCUGUUUUCGUUGCUUGUACGGUUCGGAUUUUCCC
rnacentral:lncRNA from 1 species